AACGCGAAGAACCUUACCAGGUCUUGACAUCUGAAUGACCGGUACAGAGAUGUACCUUUUCUUCGGAACAUUCAAGACAGGUGGUGCAUGGUUGUCGUCAGCUCGUGUCGUGAGAUGUUGGGUUAAGUCCCGCAACGAGCGCAACCCUUAUAUUUAGUUGCCAGCACUUCGGGUGGGCACUCUAGAUAGACUGCCGGUGACAAACCGGAGGAAGGUGGGGAUGACGUCAAAUCAUCAUGCCCCUUAUGACCUGGGCUACACACGUACUACAAUGGCCGGUACAACGGGCUGCGAAAUCGCGAGAUGGAGCCAAUCCCAACAAAGCCGGUCUCAGUUCGGAUUGCAGGCUGCAACUCGCCUGCAUGAAGUCGGAAUUGCUAGUAAUCGCGGAUCAGCAUGCCGCGGUGAAUACGUUCCCGGGCCUUGUACACACCGAGUAUA
rnacentral:rRNA from 1 species